GCACAAGCAGUGGAGUAUGUGGUUUAAUUCGAUGCAACGCGAAGAACCUUACCAGGUCUUGACAUCCGACUAACGGAGUAGAAAUGCACUGGUGCCCGCAAGGGAAAGUCGAGACAGGUGGUGCAUGGUUGUCGUCAGCUCGUGUCGUGAGAUGUUGGGUUAAGUCCCGCAACGAGCGCAACCCUUGUCAUUAGUUGCUACGGGAAGAGCACUCUAAUGAGACUGCCGUUGACAAAACGGAGGAAG
rnacentral:rRNA from 1 species